UCGUUCAGUCCUGCAAAAAGCGAGAACCCGCCUUCGAAUGGAUUAUCCCGGAAAAAGAGCUCGAACACGGCGUGUUCAUUGUGUCUGCCCGCUCUCCAGUAGGCGUAUGCCAUAGUGAACUGAUACAAAUCCGUGAGCAGUGGCGGCACUCUCUGGCACACAGAGGGUUCCAGGCUGGCACGUAUAUCACUCGCCACUGUCGCCAUGUUCGCUUGACGAAAUCCUUACUGACUUCAGGGCAGUAACUUAUUCCACGCCUACGACCGGAAGCCGACUCCACGCGAGCACGGGGACGCUUUGCGCUCUGCCUUUACGUAUAAUGUGUUCUAACUCCAUUCCUGCAGCUCCGGCCGACGCGGGACAGAGUGUUUCCCUUCAGUGUGUGUGUGUAUAUAUAUAUAAGAGAUAAAACUAAAUUAUUUUUUUUCUUAUAUUCAUGCCACAUGCCACUUAGUGUUCUUAUUCCUGGAAAACUUGACACAGUUACUAAGGUCGGCUAUUUUGAAAUAGUUUGUGGGUUGACAACACACCACACCCUUAUGAAUGACAUUUCAGUAAUAAAAAAUAGAGCGGCGGCUACAAUUAUCGACCGUCCAUAAUUAUCAACACCUUUUCAGAUUUACCAAUUUAAAAAAAAAAUUACAAAGCUGAGUUUCAGUUACAACAGUUAUUAUUGGUUAUUAAUCAACUGGAAGACCCCGCCUCGCCCUUUGAUCUUGUCGUCUGAUGACACAGCUCGUUACCUGAGAUAUUUUUUGUUUGUUUGUUUGUUUGUUUUUGCACGAUCAGCAAUUUGAGGAAAACCCGGGCGUUAUCAUCGCAGACAUACCAGAGUCAAAUGAGAUUGUGCCUGAAACCCUCCCAGCAGAGACACACACUAAAAGUGGUUGCCAGACGGAAAUCACAGGGUUACAAAUCUCUCAAAUGGAGAAGUGCAAUAGAGAUAUGACUUGUGAAUUGGUGGAACUUAAGAAAAAUAUUGGAAGCUGAUUUAACUUGAUAAGAUUGUCAGAGUAUGCUGUGCCUUGUGUAAUUUAUCUCCAGUGAUUGUUCCUUUUAAUUAGACUGAUUUUACUUUGUCUAUGAAAAAGAAAUAGAAUUAGCCUAAUAGUAGUACUUGCUUCGUGAGGUUUUUAUUGCAUGCUUUUAGACUGUUUGCACUCUAUUUUGUCAAAGAUCUUUAUUGUUUGAAAUGUAAAGGUUUGUUGGGUUAAUAAUAUAAAAACAAGAAUAAUUAGAAUAUCAAAAUAUGUUAAUAAAAUAUACUACUUAUGUACAUGUCCUUGCAUUCUGGAUUUGUAUAUCAUCCAACAUGGCGGCAAGUGCAUACGUCACACUGUAUUUGUCAUGUGGUUGAAAUCAAUCUUGAAAAUGUGGUCUUUUGUUUAAUUUUCUCUUGUUAUCCACACGCACUGCCAUUCUACAUUCGGACAUACACCACUCUCUGUCCAUGUAAGCGCAAAGCACAUCGCUGCCUGAGUAGUUCUGUGUGGAAAUUGUCACUGAUCAUGCUCUCCUUUCUCAUGCUGUGUUCGAGGUAAAGUGCCAUCCAUGUUAAGAGGUGCUUACGCGCCAUGCAGGCAAUAUGUGCUGGUCCCCAAGUUAGAUAUGGAUAGUCAUGUAUUGUAAUUGAAUGGCUGAAGCUGAAAAUAAAGCUGACACUUGGUGACCAUCAA